CCCUUAGAUGUCCUGGGCCGCACGCGCGUUACACUGAUGCAUUCAACGAGCUUAUAACCUUGGCCGAGAGGCCUGGGCAAUCUUGUUAACGUGCAUCGUGAUAGGGAUAGAUUAUUGAAAUUAUUAAUCUUGAACGAGGAAUUCCUAGUAAACGCAGAUCAUCAAUCUGCAUUGAUUACGUCCCUGCCCUUUGUACACACCGCCCGUCGCACCUACCGAUUGGAUGGUCCGGUGAAGCCUCGGGAUUGUGGUUCUUGCCGCUUUAUUGUGGCGUGACCGCGAGAACUUGUCUAAACCUUAUCAUCUAGAGGAAGGUGGAGUCGUAACA
rnacentral:rRNA from 1 species